rnacentral:rRNA from 1 species
UGGGGAAUAUUGGACAAUGGGCGAAAGCCUGAUCCAGCCAUGCCGCGUGAGUGACGAAGGCCUUAGGGUUGUAAAACUCUUUCGUCGGGGACGAUAAUGACGGUACCCGAAGAAGAAGCUCCGGCUAACUUCGUGCCAGCAGCCGCGGUAAUACGAAGGGAGCUAGCGUUGUUCGGAAUCACUGGGCGUAAAGCGCACGUAGGCGGAUAGUUAAGUCAGGGGUGAAAUCCUGGGGCUCAACCCCAGAACUGCCUUUGAUACUGGCUGUCUCGAGGUCGAGAGAGGUUGGUGGAAUUCCUAGUGUAGAGGUGAAAUUCGUAGAUAUUAGGAAGAACACCAGUGGCGAAGGCGGCCAACUGGCUCGAUACUGACGCUGAGGUGCGAAAGCGUGGGGAGCAAACAGGAUUAGAUACCCGUGUAGUCCCUGAGCGGGCUGGCAAGGCGCAU